AAAACAUAGCCCUAGAUAAAAUCUAAGGUGUAACCUGCCCAGUGACUUCAAAAUAAUAAUAUAAAAAAUUUAAAAUGUAGUUAAAAGGACGCGGUAACCUUGACCGUGGUAAUGUAGCAUAAUCACUCGCCAUUUAAUUGGUGGAUAGUAUGAAUGGUUGAACGAAUAUUCCACUGUCUUAGAAAGAAUUAGAUAAAAUUGAAAUAAUAGUUAAGAUGCUAUUUUAAACUAUAAGACGAAAAGACCCUAUAGAGCUUAACUAUAAUCUCUAUAUAAUAAAAAAAAACAAAUUUUAAUAUUAUAGAGAAUGGUAGUUUAGUUGGGGCGACUGUCUUCUAAAAUUAACGAAGAUAAGCAAUGUUAAUAAAUCACUUAUUGUAUAAUAUAAAUAUUUAACAAUUAUAAAAAUAGGCUAUAAUGACCCGUUGAAUCAAUAUAAAAUGUUUAACGAUCAAUUAAUAAAAGCUACCUUAGGGAUAACAGGAUAAUUUCAUUUUAGAGUCCUAAUCGAAGAUGAAGUUUGUCACCUC
rnacentral:rRNA from 1 species